GGAUUAGAUACCCUGGUAGUCCACGCUGUAAACGAUGGUCACUCGAUGUACACUUUUUAGAAGUGUGUGUCUAAGCAAAAGCGUUAAGUGACCCACCUGGGGAGUACGCUCGCAAGAGUGAAACUUAAAGGAAUUGACGGGGAUCCGCACAAGCGGUGGAGCAUGUGGUUUAAUUCGAUAAUACGCGAGGAACCUUACCUAGAUUCAAUGUACACUGACGUACUAAGAGAUUAGUAUUUCCGCAAGGACAGUGUACAAGGUGUUGCAUGGCUGUCGUCAGCUCGUGUUG
rnacentral:rRNA from 1 species